AGCAAACAGAAUCGACAUGCAGCCCGGCACACGUCCCAGACUUCCAGUUUCCUGGCCGUCUUUGCUAGAGUUGCCCACAGCUUUACCCUGAAAUGAUAAUCAUUCAGCUUCUCCACACAGUUGGAAUGAUGCUGAGCCUUAGCAGCAAGCACAGCUAGCGGGUCCGUUCCAAGACUUCCUGAAAAAACUACACAAUGGUUGUAAAAGAAAAACUCUUAUAAAACUGAAAAGGCUUC